rnacentral:rRNA from 1 species
CCUACGGGUGGCUGCAGUGAGGAAUAUUGGUCAAUGGGCUUACGCCUGAACCAGCCAAGUCGCGUGAGGGAAGACUGCCCUAUGGGUUGUACACCUCUUUUGUCAGGGAGCAACGCCGGCUACGUGUAGCCGGACUGAGCGUACCUGAAGAAACAGCAUCGGCUAACUCGGUGCCCGAGACCGCGGUAAUACGGAGGAUGCGAGCGUUAUCCGGAUUUAUUGGGUUAAAGGGGUCCGUAGGGGGAAUGCAAGGUCAGCGGUAAAAUCGCGGGGCUCACCAUCGCUCCGCAGUUGAAACUGGUAUUCUUGAGUGAGGGAGAGGUAUGCGGAAUGCGUGGUGUAGCGGUGAAAUGCAUAGAUAUCACGCAGAACACCGAUUGCGAAGGCAGCAUACCGGAGCUCAACUGACGCUCAUGCACGAAAGUGUGGGUAGCGAACAGGAUUAGAUACCCCGGUAGUC